AUGUGAAUGGAGCAAAUUCGUUUGGCAGUUGACUGUCUUUGAGGAUGUACACAAGCACACUCCCACCACAUAACACCUUCUCUAGAAAAUCCUGAGAAUCCGGUCGUGAAUCCUCUAUCGGCGAGCCACAAACUGGCGGUGCCACCACUACUCAGCCAGUCCUCCGCUGCUUUUCAAAAUCCUCUCUACUUUCUCUCUCCGGGGGUUCUAUUUCCUGCAUUUCUCCCAUUGCAAAAGAAGAGAAAAACAGCAAAAAACAAAAGAAGAAGAAGCACAAUGCAACUUCGCAUCUUACUCGAAAAAGCCCAAAAUUUCGAACGCAAUGAUUCCACAAUUCCACUCGUGAAGUAAAAUUGAAGAGUCUUAACCUUUUUCUUCAAGUGAAUUGCGCGAAAUUGAUUAAUUAAGAUAAUGCCAGGACCACGGCAGACCGCAGUCCUAUAUGCGGCCAGUGCUUGGUCCGGCUGGGAACAAAUCUAGAUCAGUGGAAUUGAGGAAGCCCUUUGGAAAGCCCAACAGUGAAAAGGUACAGAAAUCACUAGACGUUGUUGACGAAUCCAACGGGAAAAAGUCACCGGCAACAAUUUAGUCCCCUGUGACCGUGACAGAUGAUCAUUUGGCGUUGAAGGUGGAUUCGAAGUGGAUGAAUGUUUGUGCCGCCUCGAUUCUGGGGCUGCACAGGCAUAAUUUGUCACUGACUGCUUCGUGUUCAUCUGAUGCAUCCACGGAUUCUUUUCAUAGCCCGUCUCCAGGGAAAAUUAGCUGGCGGACGGUGACACCGACAAUGAGGAGGAAGCAGCAAUGCAGCCCAAAAGCUUUGAAUUCUCAGGAGAAUUUUGAUAGUGAGAGUGAGGGAUAUCGAUCUGGCUAAGAAAAUGUGUUCUUGGGUGGCUUCGAAUACUGUUGGAAUGUGGAGUCUGGAGGGUUGCAAAUGGAAUAUCCCAAACACGAACUAAUGGCAGCUACCUUGCUCUACUUCUUUGUAGAUUCCUUGUGCUAAUUGGGUUUCCUUAUGCUGCUUUCCAUGAUGAAGAAUGGGGAGUUCCUGUCCAUGAUGAUAAGUAACUCCUUCCAGCAUUUUUUGCUUAUUUUAGUUUUGGCUUCCAAUUAUCGGACAACCCUAUUUUAUGGCUUCGUCAUUCUUAUUUGAGUGCUUUGACGAUUGGCAGGAAACUUUUUGAAUUGUCGAGCUUUUCCACUGCAUUGGUUGAACUAACAUGGCCCCUCAUUCUUAACAAAAGGAAUAUAUUUAGGUAUCAUAGUUUUUGAUGUAAUAUUUUGAACAAUCAGAAAAUGGUUGCAGCAAUUUGAUUAUUAAAAUUUUCAUAAGCUCUCGUGUUGCUGAUUCCAAUAAAUGUGAGUGCAGAGAAGUCUUUCUGAACUUUGAUCCAAAUGCAGUGUCAAAAUUAAAUGAGAAGAAAGUAGGUACACCAGGAAGCCGUGCCAGUUCUCUCCUAUUGGAGCGAGCAAUAAUUGAAAAUGCGCGUCUAAUCUGUAAUAGAUGACCUUGGGUCCUUUGACAAGUUUGACAAGUAUAUAUGGAGUUUUGUUAACUACAAGCCUAUAAUUGAUAAUUUCCGCUAUCCUCGGCAAGUUCCUAUUAAGAUGUCAAAAGCCGGCUUAGUAAGAAGAGGAUUCCAAGGAGUUGGGCCUACAGUUGUCCACUUCUUUAUGCAAGUGGCAGGAAUUAAAAAUGACCAUCUCAUCAGCUGUCUCAGAUACCAGGAUUGUAUAGCUGCAGGUGAUUUAAUAAAUGAGGAUAAAGGCCUGAAGACCAUGAAUAAAGGCAAGACAGUAGAAGAGAUCGCUGAAUUGGAACUAGGUAGAGCUAUUGAUGAUUUUGGUUUUACUACUCAGUAGUAAUGAUUUUAGAUUUACUUUGAAUCUUUGUUAUAUAAAAAGUGAAGAGGUGGUUUCCCACACUAGGAAUGGCUCGCGUAUGUCAGGAAGUUUAACUGUUAUGAAUUAACUAAUUCAUUUCUAUGUAGAUCUCUUAAAUAGAAUUUCACUGUAGAGAAGUUCUAUUUGCCGUGUUCCCCCUUAUGUUUCACGAUGCUCUCCUAAGACGUACACGCGUGCAUAUGCGCACACACGGGGAGAGUGAGAGUACGAGAUGUUCUAUUUGGUUUUCCAUUUCAUGAAAUGAUGAUUUCUUUUGCUGGGUUGAAAUUGCAGCCAAGAUUGUUAGAAUGGGAGUCUGUCUAGAAGGACUCGAGACAACUGUGUAAGAUAUCAGAGAGUUGUUGGUCGUUUUGCUUUUGCUUUUUGCUUUUGCUCCAUUCUUUGUAUGCAUUUGGUUUACUAUGAUUUUGAGCCAUUGAAAAAAAGAAAGUGAACUUUUGGUUUGGAAGAGGAUUCAAAUUGCAUUUCAAGAUGAUGAAUGGUUACAGUCAGGAAGAUUGUAGGAGCACGUGUGUUUCUGUUAUAUCUAUACUGAGAAUUAGUGUCUGCUUCAGUGUAGGAUGAUAUACUCCUUGUCCAUGCUAAACGUUUGAGCAUUUUCAUCUUAAUGACUUUAUACUUUUAUAUUGAA